UACGUAGGGUCCGAGCGUUGUCCGGAAUUAUUGGGCGUAAAGGGCUCGUAGGCGGUCAGUUGCGUCGGGAGUGAAAACUUACAGCUUAACUGUGAGCGUGCUUUCGAUACGGGCAGACUUGAGGCAUUCAGGGGAGAACGGAAUUCCAGGUGUAGCGGUGAAAUGCGUAGAUAUCUGGAGGAACACCGGUGGCGAAGGCGGCAUUCUGGACCGAAACUGACGCUGAGGCGCGAAAGCCAGGGGAGCAAAGCGGG
rnacentral:rRNA from 1 species